rnacentral:tmRNA from 1 species
GUAAUAACCAUUGCGGACGUGGGGGCAGUACCCACCGCCUCCACCAUUUACAACUUAUGGGGGUGAACCAGAAUCGACGAGUGUCUAAAGGCUAUUCUUUCGUUCGAGAUGGUUCCGACGUAACGGACCAAUUAUAAAUGCAAAUGAUAAAUUUGCUCUUGCUGCUUAAUUAACUUGUUAAUUAAAUAAGCACGGUCUGGGGCACCGGGUAACAGAACGCCCCUAAA